AUGUAAUAAUGCUCAGAUAUGUGGAAGCUACGAAAGAUGGGCCAUAUAACAAUCACAGGAUCUUCCAUGAACAUUGUGAAAUCACGCGUAAACUCCAUACAGAACAAUGAUCAGAGCCAAACUGCAGUCAUUCCUCAAGUUGCCAUAAUCAUGGGCUCUGAUUCAGACCUUCCUAUAAUGAAGGAUGCAGCUGUGGUCCUGAAGAACUUUGAUGUGCCAUUUGAGGUAAUUAUUGUUUCGGCACACCGGACCCCUGAUAGGAUGUACUCUUUUGCUUCAUCUGCAAAGAACAAGGGAAUUCAUGUCAUCAUUGCUGGUACUGGUGGUGCAGCACAUUUACCAGGUUUGGUGGCCUCAUUGACAUCUUUGCCUGUAAUUGGCAUCCCCAUUAGAACUGCUUCACUGGAUGGAGUUGAUUCCCUCUUAUCCAUUGUCGAGAGUUGUAAAAUACCAAGAAGACAUGAAAGAGACUGUACUUACAAAAGCAGAGAAACUUGAGCGUGAAAGCUGGGAAGAAUAUUUAAAAUCUUAACCUCGAUCUGCUCAUCAAGGUUCAAGGAUGAGGUAGAAUUGAAAACCAGGCUGAUCCAGAAGGGCAUCAAGUGUGCACAAUGGCCGCGCAUUUAAUUAUAAAGUUCUUUUUCUGUUUAUGAGUUAUCAAUAAUGUUGAUAUUGGCAUAUCAUAUACUUCUUUCUUACCAUCUGACUUUUUUUUCAGUUAAAAGCUGAC